AGAGUUUGGAUCCUGGCUCAGGAUGAACGCUAGCGGCAGGCUUAAUACAUGCAAGUCGAGGGGCAGCGGGGGUAGCGAUACCUGCCGGCGACCGGCAAACGGGUGCGGAACACGUACACAACCUUCCUUUAAGUGGGGGAUAGCCCAGAGAAAUUUGGAUUAAUACUCCGUAACAUUAUUAAGUGGCAUCAUUUGAUAAUUAAAGCUCCGGCGCUUGAAGAUGGGUGUGCGUCUGAUUAGGUAGUUGGUGAGGGUAACGGCCCACCAAGCCUACGACCAGUAACUGGUGUGAGAGCACGACCAGUCACACGGGCACUGAGACACGGGCCCGACUCCUACGGGAGGCNGCAGUAAGGAAUAUUGGUCAAUGGACGCAAGUCUGAACCAGCCAUGCCGCGUGGAGGAUGAAGGUCCUCUGGAUUGUAAACUUCUUUUAUCUGGGAAGAAAUGCAUUUUUUCCAAAGUGUUUGACGGUACCAGAUGAAUAAGCACCGGCUAACUCCGUGCCAGCAGCCGCGGUAAUACGGAGGGUGCAAGCGUUAU
rnacentral:rRNA from 1 species